GGCUCGAUGGUCCAGUAGUAAGAUACGUGCUUCGGGAAUAACCCGCCACCCCGGGUGGUCAGAUGUACGUGACCCGGGUUCAAUUCCCGGUCGAGCCC
rnacentral:tRNA from 1 species